rnacentral:rRNA from 1 species
GACGUAGGGCGCGAGCGUUGUCCGGAUUUAUUGGGCGUAAAGAGCUCGUAGGCGGCUUGUCGCGUCGACUGUGAAAACCCGCGGCUCAACCGUGUGGUCUGCAGUCGAUACGGGCAGGCUAGAGUUCGGUAGGGGGAGACUGGAAUUCCUGGUGUAGCGGUGAAAUGCGCAGAUAUCAGGAGGAACACCGGUGGCGAAGGCGGGUCUCUGGGCCGAUACUGAC